GAUGAACGCUGGCGGCGUGCCUAAUACAUGCAAGUCGAGCGAACUGAUAAGGAGCUUGCUCCUUUGACGUUAGCGGCGGACGGGUGAGUAACACGUGGGUAACCUACCUAUAAGACUGGAAUAACUCCGGGAAACCGGGGCUAAUGCCGGAUAACAUUUAGAACCGCAUGGUUCUAAAGUGAAAGAUGGUUUUGCUAUCACUUAUAGAUGGACCCGCGCCGUAUUAGCUAGCUGGUAAGGUAACGGCUUACCAAGGCAACGAUGCGUAGCCGACCUGAGAGGGUGAUCGGCCACACUGGAACUGAGACACGGUCCAGACUCCUACGGGAGGCAGCAGUAGGGAAUCUUCCGCAAUGGGCGAAAGCAUGACGGAGCAACGCCGCGUGAGUGAUGAAGGUCUUCGGAUCGUAAAACUCUGUUAUUAGGGAAGAACAAAUGUGUAAGUAACUGUGCACGUCUUGACGGUACCUAAUCAGAAAGCAACGGCUAACUACGUG
rnacentral:rRNA from 1 species